rnacentral:rRNA from 1 species
AUUGAACGCUGGCGGCAUGCCUAACACAUGCAAGUCGAACGGCAGCACAGCAGUAGCAAUACUGUGGGUGGCGAGUGGCGGACGGGUGAGGAAUACGUCGGAAUCUGCCCAGUCGCGGGGGAUAACUAGCCGAAAGGUUAGCUAAUACCGCAUACGACCGAGAGGUGAAAGCGGGGGACCGCAAGGCCUCGCGCGAUUGGAUGAGCCGACGUCGGAUUAGCUAGUUGGCGGGGUAAAGGCCCACCAAGGCGACGAUCCGUAGCUGGUCUGAGAGGAUGAUCAGCCACACUGGAACUGAGACACGGUCCAGACUCCUACGGGAGGCAGCAGUGGGGAAUAUUGGACAAUGGGCGCAAGCCUGAUCCAGCAAUGCCGCGUGUGUGAAGAAGGCCUUCGGGUUGUAA